GAUGAACGCUGGCGGCGUGCCUAAUACAUGCAAGUCGAGCGAACGGACGAGAAGCUUGCUUCUCUGAUGUUAGCGGCGGACGGGUGAGUAACACGUGGAUAACCUACCUAUAAGACUGGGAUAACUUCGGGAAACCGGAGCUAAUACCGGAUAAUAUUUUGAACCGCAUGGUUCAAAAGUGAAAAACGGUCUUGCUGUCACUUAUAGAUGGAUCCGCGCUGCAUUAGCUAGUUGGUAAGGUAACGGCUUACCAAGGCAACGAUGCAUAGCCGACCUGAGAGGGUGAUCGGCCACACUGGAACUGAGACACGGUCCAGACUCCUACGGGAGGCAGCAGUAGGGAAUCUUCCGCAAUGGGCGAAAGCCUGACGGAGCAACGCCGCGUGAGUGAUGAAGGUCUUCGGAUCGUAAAACUCUGUUAUUAGGGAAGAACAUAUGUGUAAGUAACUGUGCACAUCUUGACGGUACCUAAUCAGAAAGCCACGGCGAACUACGU
rnacentral:rRNA from 1 species